rnacentral:rRNA from 1 species
AUUGAACGCUGGCGGCAGGCCUAACACAUGCAAGUCGAACGAGUGGCGGACGGGUGAGUAAUAUCUGGGAAAGUGCCUAGUAGAGGGGGAUAACUACUGGAAACGGUGGCUAAUACCGCAUACCAUCGGAUGUGCCCAGAUCGGAUUAGCUAGUUGGUGGGGUAAAGGCUCACCAAGGCGACGAUCCCUAGCUGGUUUGAGAGGAUGACCAGCCACACUGGAACGGAGACACGGUCCAGACUCCUACGGGAGGCAGCAGUGGGGAAUUUUGCACAAUGGGCGCAAGCCUGAUGCAGCCAUCCCGCGUGUAUGAAGAAGGCCUUCGGGUUGUAAAGUACUUUCAGCAGGGAGGCGUUAUCUGCAGAAUAAGCACCGGCUAACUACGUGCCAGCAGCCGCGGUAAUAC